rnacentral:rRNA from 1 species
UGGGGGAAUAUUGGGCAAUGGGCGCAAGCCUGACCCAGCAACGCCGCGUGAAGGAAGAAGGCUUUCGGGUUGUAAACUUCUUUUCUCGGGGACGAACAAAUGACGGUACCCGAGGAAUAAGCCACGGCUAACUACGUGCCAGCAGCCGCGGUAAUACGUAGGUGGCAAGCGUUAUCCGGAUUUAUUGGGUGUAAAGGGCGUGUAGGCGGGAAAGCAAGUCAGAUGUGAAACUCAGUGCUCAACCCUGAGCUGCAUUUGAAACUGUUUUUCUUGAGUGCUGGAGAGGCAAUCGGAAUUCCGUGUGUAGCGGUGAAAUGCGUAGAUAUACGGAGGAACACCAGUGGCGAAGGCGGAUUGCUGGACAGUAACUGACGCUGAGGCGCGAAAGCGUGGGGAGCAAACAGGAUUAGAUACC